CGCAGAGUAGCUGUGGAUAUUAUAGUUGCGCAGGCACUUUGUUGACUCUAGAAAACCUCGGCCCAAUCGCACAUUCCCGUGACGGCGAUUUUGCAUUUGGACGUCAUCCAUAUCAACUUUCUAUGCCAGUUUCUGUGCCUACCAUGGUGACCAUGGGUAACGGAGAAUCAGGGUUACAUUCCAUACAGGGACCCUGAGAAAUGGCUACCACAUGCAAGGAAGGCAUCAGGCGCGCAAAUGACCCACUCCCGACACGGGAAGGUAGUGACG